rnacentral:rRNA from 1 species
UUCAGAAGAGCUAAUUUANUAAUUUAUNUANUGGUUUAGAAUUAUUAAUAAUAUAAAUUAGGGAGGAAAUCUUAUUCGUUUUUAAUGGUAUCUAGUUUUUUAAGAAUUAAAUUUAAUUUAUUUUCUUUAUGUAAAUUUUAACUUUUUAUUAUAAUUUAUUUAUUGAAUUAAAAAUUAUAGGGGAUAAGCUCUAUGAUAAACUAAAAAAUUUUUUAUUAAUCAACUUAUGUAGGGUUAAAAUUAUCUAUCAUUAUUAAGUGUGUUAUAAUAUAUAUUGAUUAUUAGAUGAUUUAUUUAUUUUUAGGAUUUUAUUAAAAUAUUUAAAUUAAUUUUGAAUUUAAUGAAAUAAUGAUUAAAUUAGUAUAAUUAUUUUGUUUAACAUAAAUUUUUAUUUAUAAUAAAAUAAGGAAUUCGGCAAAUAUUGCACUCGCCUGUUUAACAAAAACAUGUCCUUUUGAAAAUUUAUAGAAGGUCUGACCUGCCCAGUGAAAAUAUUUUAACGGCCGCGGUAUAUUGACCGUGCAAAGGUAGCAUAAUCAUUAGUCUUUUAAUAGAGGGCUGGAAUGAAGGGUUUAACGAAGUACUUACUGUCUCAUUUAAUUUGAUAUUAAAAUUUACUUUUUCAGUCAAAAAGCUGAAAUAUUAUUGGAAGACGAGAAGACCCUAUAGAGCUUUAUAUUUAAUUAUUUAAUAAAUUUUUGAUAAUAUUAUUAUUUAUUAUUUAAUAAAAUAUUUUGUUGGGGUGACAAAAAUAUAUAAUUAACUUUUUUAUUUAUAUAACAUUGAUAUAUGAAAAAUAGAUCCAGUUUUACUGAUUAUUAGAACAAGUUACCUUAGGGAUAACAGCGUAAUCUUCCUUUAGAGUUCAUAUUCACAGGGAGGCUUGCGACCUCGAUGUUGGAUUAAGAUUAUAAUUAGGUGUAGCCGCUUAAAAAAUAGGUCCUGUUCGACCUUUAAAUUCUUUACA